rnacentral:rRNA from 1 species
CGCGAAGAACCUUACCUACUCUUGACAUCCAGAGAACUUAGCAGAGAUGCUUUGGUGCCUUCGGGAACUCUGAGACAGGUGCUGCAUGGCUGUCGUCAGCUCGUGUUGUGAAAUGUUGGGUUAAGUCCCGCAACGAGCGCAACCCUUAUCCUUGUUUGCCAGCGAGUAAUGUCGGGAACUCCAGGGAGACUGCCGGUGAUAAACCGGAGGAAGGUGGGGACGACGUCAAGUCAUCAUGGCCCUUACGAGUAGGGCUACACACGUGCUACAAUGGCGCAUACAGAGGGCGGCCAACUUGCGAAAGUGAGCGAAUCCCAAAAARUGSGUCGUAGUCCGGAUUGGAGUCUGCAACUCGACUCCAUGAAGUCGGAWUCGC